rnacentral:rRNA from 1 species
GACGAACGCUGGCGGCGUGCCUAAUACAUGCAAGGUGAACGCUUCUUUCUUAUCGAACUUCGGUUCACCAAGAAAGAAGAGUAGCGAACGGGUGAGUAACACGUGGGUAACCUGCCCAUCAGCGGGGGAUAACACUUGGAAACAGGUGCUAAUACCGCAUAAUACUUUUUCUCUCAUGAGUGAAAGUUGAAAGGCGCUUUUGCGUCACUGAUGGAUGGACCCGCGGUGCAUGAGCUAGUUGGUAGGGUAACGGCCUACCAAGGCAACGAUGCAUAGCCGCCCUGAGAGGGUGAUCGGCCACACUGGGACUGAGACACGGCCCGGACUCCUACGGGAGGCAGCAGUAGGGAAUCUUCGGCAAUGGACGAAAGUCUGACCGAGCAACGCCGCGUGAGUGAAGAAGGUUUUCGGAUCGUAAAACUCUGUUGUUAGAGAAGAACAAGGAUGAGAAGAGAAUGUUCAUCCCUUGACGGUAUCUAACCAGAAAGCCACGGCUAACUACGUGCCAGCAGCCGCCGUAA